rnacentral:rRNA from 1 species
GAUGAACGCUGGCGGCGUGCCUAACACAUGCAAGUCGAGCGGCAGCGAGGGGUGCUUGCACCCUGUCGGCGAGCGGCGGACGGCUGAGUAACGCGUGGGAACGUGCCCCAAAGUGAGGAAUAACUGCCCGAAAGGGUAGCUAAUACCGCAUAUUAUCUUCGGAUCAAAGGAUUUAUCCGCUUUGGGAGCGGCUCGCGUCGGAUUAGGUAGUUGGUGAGGUAAUGGCUCACCAAGCCGACGAUCCGUAGCUGGUCUGAGAGGAUGACCAGCCAGACUGGAACUGAGACACGGUCCCGACUCCUACGGGAGGCAGCAGUGAGGAAUCUUCCACAAUGGGCGAAAGCCUGAUGGAGCAACGCCGCGUGCAGGACGAAGGCCUUCGGGUUGUAAACUGCUUUUAUAAGUGAGGAAUAUGACGGUAACUUAUGAAUAAGCAUCGGCUAACUACGUG